UGUAUGGAAUAUCUAAAUUCUAGUAUGAAAAAUUAAUGAUUUAAGUCCUUCUUAAAUGAGGCCAUUUACCCAUAGAGGGUGCCAGGCCCGUAUAACAUUAAUGAUUACUAGAAGAUAUUUCCAAAGAGUCGUGUUGCUUGAUAGUGCAGCACUAAGUGGGUGGUAAACUCCAUCUAAAACUAAAUAUAACCAUGAGACCGAUAGUAAACAAGUACCGUGAGGGAAAGUUGAAAAGAACUCUGAAUAGAGAGUUAAAUAGUACGUGAAACUGCUUAGAGGUUAAGCCCGAUGAACCUGAAUAUCCAUUAUAAAGAAUUCAUCAUCAAUAUGAUUAUAUAUAAAAAAUAUAAUUAUAAUGGUGUGCAUUUUCUUUAUAUAAGGACAUUGUAAUUUAUUAACAUAAUGAAUUUAUUAUAAGAUCAUUAGCAAGAGUUUAUUUAAAUUAUUUACUUCGGUAAUUUAUAUUAAGUAAAUGCUUUUGAUUUAAUAAAGUGUUGAUAAAUUUAAUCAUAUGUAUAAUGCAUAAAUUUCAUAUGAAAUUUUAUAAUAUUUUAUAUUAUAAGCAUUUAUACGAUUAACAAUGCGAAAGAUUCAGGAUACCUUCGGGACCCGUCUUGAAACACGGACCAAGGAGUCUAACAUAUGUGCAAGCUUUUGGGUAUUUAUAUAACAAAACCCAUAAGCAUAAUUAACUUAACUAUAUUUAAUGGGAUGAAUUUAUAUUAAUAAGUUAAUAUUAAUGCAAUCCCGGGGCGUUCUAUAUAGUUAUGUAUAAUAAUAUUUUAUAUUAUUUAUGCCUCUAACUAGAGCGUACCUUGAGCAUAUAUGCUGUGACCCGAAAGAUGGUGAACUAUACUUGAUCAGGUUGAAGUCAGGGGAAACCCUGAUGGAAGACCGAAACAGUUC
rnacentral:rRNA from 1 species